AGCGAACGCUGGCGGCAGGCCUAACACAUGCAAGUCGAACGAACUCUUCGGAGUUAGUGGCGGACGGGUGAGUAACACGUGGGAACGUGCCUUUAGGUCCGGAAUAACUCAGGGAAACUUGUGCUAAUACCGAAUGUGCCCUUCGGGGGAAAGAUUUAUCGCCUUUAGAGCGGCCCGCGUCUGAUUAGCUAGUUGGUGAGGUAAAGGCUCACCAAGGCGACGAUCAGUAGCUGGUCUGAGAGGAUGAUCAGCCACAUUGGGACUGAGACACGGCUCAAACGCCUACGGGAGGCAGCAGUGGAGAAUCUUGCGCAAUGGGCGAAAGCCUGACGCAGCCAUGCCGCGUGAAUGAUGAAGGUCUUAGGAUUGUAAAAUUCUUUCACCGGGGACGGUAAUGACGGUACCCGGAGAAGAAGCCCCGGCUAACUUCGUGCCAGCAGCCGCCGCAG
rnacentral:rRNA from 1 species